UACGUAGGUGGCAAGCGUUGUCCGGAAUUAUUGGGCGUAAAGCGCGCGCAGGUGGUUUCUUAAGUCUGAUGUGAAAGCCCACGGCUCAACCGUGGAGGGUCAUUGGAAACUGGGGAACUUGAGUGCAGGAGAGAAGAGUGGAAUUCCACGUGUAGCGGUGAAAUGCGUAGGGAUGUGGAGGAACACCAGUGGCGAAGGCGACUCUUUGGCCUGUAACUGACACUGAGGCGCGAAAGCGUGGGGAGCAAACAGGG
rnacentral:rRNA from 1 species